AUUCAUACCUUGCAGGGGAAAUACCAUGUCAUAAAAAUGGUUCUCCCAAGGGGAGGCUCAUCCAUUGUACUUUGGGUGUGUGGUUGAUUCCUGUGAUUUCCCCAAAUGUGGGGAACUCAGCUGCAUAAUUUGUGGGCCAUUUUGCCAUGUUUUCAAGGACGCCUAGCAC
rnacentral:snRNA from 1 species